AUCUAGCUCUAGGUCGGGGACAACCACUGGAAACGGUGGCUAAUACCGGAUGUGCCGAAAGGUGAAAGAUUUAUUGCCUAGAGAUGAGCUCGCGUCUGAUUAGCUAGUAGGUGUGGUAAGAGCGCACCUAGGCGACGAUCAGUAGCUGGUCUGAGAGGAUGAUCAGCCACACUGGGACUGAGACACGGCCCAGACUCCUACGGGAGGCAGCAGUGGGGAAUUUUCCGCAAUGGGCGAAAGCCUGACGGAGCAAUACCGCGUGAGGGAGGAAGGCUCUUGGGUUGUAAACCUCUUUUCUCAGGGAAUAAAAAAAUGAAGGUACCUGAGGAAUAAGCAUCGGCUAACUCCGUGCCAGCAGCCGCGGUAAUACGGAGGAUGCAAGCGUUAUCCGGAAUGAUUGGGCGUAAAGGGUCCGCAGGUGGCAAUGUAAGUCUGCUGUUAAAGAAUGAGGCUCAACCUCAUACAAGCAGUGGAAACUACAUAGCUAGAGUGCGUUCGGGGUAGAGGGAAUUCCUGGUGUAGCGGUGAAAUGCGUAGAUAUCAGGAAGAACACCGGUGGCGAAAGCGCUCUACUAGGCCGCAACUGACACUGAGGGACGAAAGCUAGGGGAGCG
rnacentral:rRNA from 1 species